rnacentral:rRNA from 1 species
CAAUAGCGUAUAUUUAAGUUGUUGCAGUUAAAAAGCUCGUAGUCGGAUUUUGGCUGAGAACGAUCGGUCCGCCGUUAGGUGUGCACUGAUUGGUCUCAGCUUCCUGGUGAGGAGGUGUGCUUCACGGCCACUUAGUCACCGUGGUUACUUUGAAAAAAUUAGAGUGUUCAAAGCGGGCUUACGCUUGAAUAUAUUAGCAUGGAAUAACACCAUAGGACUCCUGUCCUAUUUCGUUGGUCUCGGGACGGGAGUAAUGAUUAAGAGGAACAGUUGGGGGCAUUCGUAUUUCAUUGUCAGAGGUGAAAUUCUUGGAUUUAUUAAAGACUAACUUAUGCGAAAGCAUCUGCCAUGGAUGUUUUCAUUGA